GACGAACGCUGGCGGCGUGCUUAAUACAUGCAAGUCGAACGGACAGGCCCUGCUUUUGUGGGGUUCUCGUUUGGCGAACGGGUGAGUAACACGUGAGUAACCUGCCCUUGACUUUGGGAUAACUUCAGGAAACUGGGGCUAUUACCGGAUAGAACCUCCUGCUGCAUGGGGGGGGUUGGAAAGUUUCGGCGGUUGGGGCUGGACUCGCGGCUUAUCCGCCUCUUGGGGGGGUUGGGUCGUCCACAGGCUUGGAAGGGUAGCCAGCCUGGGAGUGUGACCGGCCACAUUGGCAUAGGGAUACGGCCCGGAGGCCUACGGGAGGCAGCAGUGGAGAAUAGUGCAAACAGGGCGGAGGCCUUGUGGAGCAACGCCGGGUGCGGAAUGACGGCCUUCGGGGUGUAAACCGUUUUUGCGUGUGUCGAAGCGUGAUGGACGGUAAUAGGCAAAGAAGCACCGGUAAAUUACGU
rnacentral:rRNA from 1 species